rnacentral:tRNA from 1 species
UCUCUGGUGGUCCAGUGGUUAGGACUCUGCACUUGCACUGCUGAGGGCCCAGGGUUCGAUCUGUGGUCAGGGAU